rnacentral:rRNA from 1 species
UACAUGUGGGGCAAGCGUUGUUCGGAAUUACUGGGCAUAAAGGGCGCGUAGGCGGUACUUCAAGUCAGGCGUGAAAGCCCCGGGCUCAACCUGGGAACCGCGCUUGAGACUGGAGAACUAGAGUUCGGGAGAGGAUGGUGGAAUUCCCAGUGUAGAGGUGAAAUUCGUAGAUAUUGGGAAGAACACCGAUGGCGAAGGCAGCCAUCUGGACCGACACUGACGCUGAGGCGCGAAAGCGUGGGGAGCAAACAGG